rnacentral:rRNA from 1 species
CAGUAGCCACGGUAAAACGUAGGGUGCAAGCGUUAAUCGGAAUUACUGGGCGUAAAGCGUGCGCAGGCGGUUUGUUAAGACAGAUGUGAAAUCCCCGGGCUCAACCUGGGAACUGCAUUUGUGACUGGCAAGCUAGAGUGUGGCAGAGGGGGGUGGAAUUCCGCGUGUAGCAGUGAAAUGCGUAGAUAUGCGGAGGAACACCGAUGGCGAAGGCAGCCCCCUGGGCCAACACUGACGCUCAUGCACGAAAGCGUGGGGAGCAAACAGGAUUAGAUACCCGUGUAGUCCCUGUCUCUUAUAC